rnacentral:sRNA from 1 species
GCCGAAUGGCUGCGGUAAAUCGACCACGAUUCGCGUGUUAACUGGUUUGCUGCAGCCUACCG